CCUAACCGUGCUUAAUCUUGAGGUUGUGUUAGUGAGCGCAUAACUAAAAUAAAUCCUUUACCUAAUAAUUUACUUGCUUACCUAAGAGGGGCUGUUCUCGCGAUUGAUUGAAGUAUGCUUGCUUCUCUGCUAAAUGAUAAUGUGGGUGGAUUCGAGGACCUCCUUUUCUGAAGUGAAAGAAGGGACAUCCACCAUCAUGAAUCCCCUCCUAGUAGAGGCGAGUGCAGGUCCUGACUAGGUUUUAGUCUCUAUUCUUUCUCGUUUCGGGUAUACUUACGAGCUAGGAUAUCUUGGAAAGUCUAACUCGGGACCAUCUGACCGGACUACCAAGCUUGACUAUCAAGCCGUUAUCUUUCAUUUAGUCAAUACCAGUGCCCGCUAAAAGCUAAGAGGGGCUGUUCUCGCGAUUGAUUAAAGUAUGCUUGCUUCUCUGCUAAUGAUAAUGUGGGUGGAUUCGAGGACCUCCUUUUCUGAAGUGAAAGAAGGGACAUCCACCAUCAUGAAUCCCCUCCUAGUAGAGGCGAGUGCAGGUCCUGACUAGGUUUUAGUCUCUAUUCUUUCUCGUUUCGGGUAUACUUACGAGCUAGGAUAUCUUGGAAAGUCUAACUCGGGACCAUCUGAC
rnacentral:lncRNA from 1 species